rnacentral:lncRNA from 1 species
AGGACCUACAGGUCCCAAGCCCGGAGUGACCGUACAGCUGGAGCGAGGGGACGAGCCCUGGGUGCACAUGCAGAAUGCCAAGGGGAGAGUGCACAUGAGAGCCAGCCACUCAGGUGUGUGAGGGAAGCUGUUCCCAGCUUGGCCACUGAACCAGCAUUUGUUGGGGUUCAGGGUGUCUGGUUAAUGGGGAGAUGGAUCAGGGCUAGUUCAGUAGCUUGCACGGCCUCUGCUGGGGCCCUGGUCACCUCUGUCAGCUUGGGUGCCUUGGUGGGAAAUUCAAGCAGAAUCUUCUAGGUGGUGACAGUGUUGUGGAGCAGAGUAGGGACGGGCUUCCAGAUAGAGACAGGGAAGGUGCAUGGGUGCAGGCCAGGUGUCAGCUCUGACAAAUAAACUCUCGUGUGUAUCUCUGCCUGGUCUCUGUCUUUCAGCUCGCUGGCCUGCUCCCAGUUCCCUGCUUUCCUUUCACCAGGUAGCCUCUGUACCCUCAGCUCACUUUCUGUCUCUGAAUUUGCCUCUUAGAACCUCAUGCAAGGGGAGUCCUGUGAGAUGUGUUCCUGGAGCACAGUGUGGUCCAGGCUCCCCACCUUCAGCCUGACACGGGUCCCUUCCUUUUGCAGAUGAGUAAGAUUCCACUGGGUGGCUCUGCCGUGUCUCCCCUGCACCUCUCCCUCGCCUGCAGCUGGAACCUGGGUGUGGACGCUGAUGUCGAUGUCGUUGUAUGAUGUGUGUUGAGCCCCUGCUUUCAGUGCCUCUAGGUCAGAAUCUGGGUGGCACAGGAGUUGCACAGGUUCUGCCUUUCUUCACAUUCCCACCAGCAUGGGUACUAUUUUCUGCUUUUUCAUAGGAGGCAUCCUAAUAGGAGUGAAGUGAUAUUGUGUUUUUUUUUUUUUUUUAUUGGUUGUUCAAAACAUUAGAUACUGUGGUUUUGAUUUGCAUUUCCUUAAUGGCCAGUCAUGUUCAGCAUAUCUCCAGGUGUUUACUGACCAUUUGUGUAUUUUCUUUGGAGAAAUGUCUACUCAAGUCUUUUGACCAUUGUUUUAAAGAUUUUCUUUUAAGUUGUAGAUGGACACAAUUCCUUUAUUUUAUUUAAUUAUUUAUUUUUGUUUGGUGCUGGGGAUCGAACCCAGUGCUUCACACAUGCUGUGUGAGCAUUCUACCACUGAGCUAUAACCCUAGCCUCCCUUUGCCCAUUUUUUUUAAUUGAGUCUUUUUUUGCUGUUGAGUUGUAGUAGUUCUUCAUAUAUUUUGGAUAUUAGCCCCUUAUCAGAUAUAUGAUUUGAAAAUAUUUUUCUAUUUUGUCGACUAAUCUUUUCAUUCUCAUGAUAGUGUCCUAUAAUGCAAAAAAUUUUUGAUUCUGAUGAAGUCCAGUUUAUCUAAUUUUUCUUUUAUUCCCUGUGCAUUUAGGUAUCACAUGUAAGGAAUCAUUGCUAAGCACGAGUCAUUAAGUCUGCCUACCGUGUUUUCUUCUAAGGAAUUUAUAGUUUUAGAUCUUACGUUUUGGGACUUUGAUCUAUUUUGAGCUAAUUUUUUUAUAUGGCACAAGGUGAGUCCAAUGCCAUGCUUCUGUGUGUGAAUACCCAGUUUUCCCAGCAAUACUGCUCAAUAGAUUUUCCUUUCCAUGCUGCAUAGUGUAUUAGUCAGCUCGGCUGCC